CUCGGCACUUGGUGGGAGAACACACUCACAGGGAAUUAAAUGUUUGCCUGAAAACUACAUUGAGAUUCUGGCUCCAUCCUGGUGUUCCAGCACAUGCAGAGCCUCGCGCCCCACACCUAGCACUGGGAUUUCUCACUCUGAAAUGCUGCAGAGAUGUGCUCUUUUUUUUGAUUCUAGAGGUGAUAUGCAACGUGAGAUGCUAAAAACUCUGAAAGAAAGUCUUUGAAGAUAAUUACAGCUACCUUACCACAAAGAAGCUCUGAGAGUUAUAAGGAAAAAACCCAAACAAAAUCUAUUAAUGCAGAGUUAAGAUCACCCAGUUUUAGUUGAGACCUUUCCAAAUGGAAAAUCCAGGAGGCACAGAAUCAACAUACAUGCCAAUAAAACAUUGA